AGCUUUGCACAGUGGCAGUAUUGGAGCCCAUGAGGUUUAUCCAAGGCACGAUUAUUGAUAACUGAAAAAUUUUUUUACUUCCAAUGAUUAUGUGAUACCCUUGGGAUAACUAACUUAUCUCUCUGUCUUUUUAGUGCCUUACAUAAAG
rnacentral:snRNA from 1 species